CUGGCUCCAAAAAACCAAGACGGCGACGUCCAUUAAGCCAAACUCGAGGCUUCAAAACGGCAGUUAACAAACUAAUGGGUGAUGUCACAGACGGUUACCACUUGUGCAAAGGAAGAAGUCAGGAUGACAACAGUCCUCGAAACGAGACAUCAUCAUUCGGCAUCAGACCCUCCUCUGCAACAAAUAAAUCAUGCAGAAUUCAUAAAAAUCUUAUGGGACUCCUUAGAUGCCGCUACACAUACAAGAUUAAAACUGCCAUUCAUCUGAUAAGAAGAGUGAAGAGUCUUUCAUUCCCAGUCAUUCCUCCGAGGAGUUUGGUUUUUCUGUGAGGCGCUCAGAAUGGUAACAAUGAAUAUGAUAGAGAGUUCAAAUCAGGAAAAUAAUCCAGGCCGUGAACAUUCACGCAGGCUCUCCUCUAUCUACUCUCAGGAUUAAAUCAAUGAAUACAAGUAAACAAACACACAAACCAACAAACCAGAGAGCCAAGAUACGGAUUUCUGCAGUGUCUUCUUGUUAAUGAGCCAGCCCAAGACAGACUGCAGAUAAAACUGCUCUGCUGUCUGGUUCCAGUCAACAGACCCACUUUCAUCCAUGAAUCUUAAGACAAUGACUUUCUGUAGGGAAAAAAAAGACAAUCCUACCUGCUGCUGCUCACACACUGCUGUUGCUCCCCUUUUACUUUAAUGUAUGUAUAUUUAAUGUUGCUUACAGUUACUGCAUCAUUAAAAAGAAAAACACUGUGACAGGA